UCUGGGGUGGGAACCGCCUCUCUGGCCGGCAGAGUUCCCGAGUUGCUGGUCUGGAGGGGGCUCCUGAGGGAGCCUCUCCUGGCUGUGACCCUCGCUGGGCUGGGCAAGAAGCUUGGGGGCAGGCUGCUGGGGCCAGCCUUGCCCGGUGGGGACCGGCCUUCGGCACGGCGUUGAGUGGCCAAGGCAGUGUAAAAAGACCGACGUGGGAGCAGGCCUGACCUGGCAGGGACAUGGCGUCCUAAAGCAGAGGACAGGGACGGGGCGGCAGAGUCUUCAGUUGCCCCUAUGCACGUCAGCCCGUGCGCCAUGAGAGUCAGCAGCAGAACAUAUCUCACUUGAUGGGAACAGAGUACUGAAGACCAUUGGCUCAUCUCAGAAAAUGGAAUACACUACACUACAACAGCCAGCACAAAGCCGGUUUAGAGGCUUUAAAUGAGAUUUAUGAGAUAAUAAGCCUGGAACCCACGGACUACACCAACACGAGGCAGUAUCACCCUGCAGUAGACGCAUCAUAAUUUCAACAGACAAAGUUGCCGUUAACAUGUUUGUUUUGUUUAUGUUGGCAUAUUUAGCUUGUUAGGAAUAACUACCUGUAUUAUUGAUAAGAUUUUUAAAUGGUGAUGGGCGGAGAUGCUGUGUAACCUUUGUAGUUUAUUGGCUUAUGUGCUCAUUUUGUCUCGCCGCCAGACCCUAUCAAAUUGCUUCUUCUCUGUCAAUCUAUUGCGUAUAUAAUCUAUUGUAAUAUUUUGAUUUACCAGUGU